GACAGAGGGGGCAAGCGUUGCUCGGAAUCACUGGGCGUAAAGGGCGCGUAGGCGGGAUGGCAAGUCGGUCGUGAAAUCCUUCGGCUCAACCGAAGAACGUCGGCCGAUACUGCCGUUCUUGAGGGAUGCAGAGGAGAUUGGAAUUUCCGGUGUAGCGGUGAAAUGCGUAGAGAUCGGAAGGAACACCGGUGGCGAAGGCGGCUACCUGGCCUGAUACUGACACUGAGGCACGAAAGCGUGGGGAGCAAACAGG
rnacentral:rRNA from 1 species